AUUGAACGCUGGCGGCAGGCUUAACACAUGCAAGUCGAGCGGAGAUGAGGUGCUUGCACCUUAUCUUAGCGGCGGACGGGUGAGUAAUGCUUAGGAAUCUGCCUAUUAGUGGGGGACAACAUUCCGAAAGGAAUGCUAAUACCGCAUACGUCCUACGGGAGAAAGCAGGGGAUCUUCGGACCUUGCGCUAAUAGAUGAGCCUAAGUCGGAUUAGCUAGUUGGUGGGGUAAAGGCCUACCAAGGCGACGAUCUGUAGCGGGUCUGCGAGGAUGAUCCGCCACAGUAGGACUGAGAAACGGCCCAGACUCCUCCGGGAGGCAGCAGUGGGGAAUAUUGGACAAUGGGGGAAACCCUGAUCCAGCCAUGCCGCGUGUGUGAAGAAGGCCUUAUGGUUGUAAAGCACAUUAAGCGAGGAGGAGGCUACUGAGACUAAUACUCUUGGAUAGUGGACGUUACUCGCAGAAUAAGCACCGGCUAACUCUGUGCCAGCCGCCGCCGUAA
rnacentral:rRNA from 1 species